AUGCGGCUACUGUGCAUCUUUGCUGUGUGGGCAGCAUUUCUGACAGACGUCACCCACGGUUAUUCUGUCUCUCAACCAGCGUCCUCGGGAUUGAAGAGAGAAGGAGAAGCGGUGACUUUAAGUUGCAGCUAUGAUAUUGCAUUGGAGAGUUACGCUUUAUUUUGGUACAUACAAAAUCCAGAUACUCAGCCCGAGUUCAUUCUGUACAAGGACACCAUCAACAUUGCAAGGAAAGCCGAAUUUGCAAAAAAUCGUUUCUCUGUCGUGCUCAACAAAGAGACUAAACUCACGAGUUUGACCAUCUCGGGGCUAGAACUGAGCGAAGCUGCAGUUUAUUACUGUGCUCUGUCACUGUGA